rnacentral:rRNA from 1 species
GCGGCGGACGGGUGAGUAAAGCUUAGGAAUCUGCCUAUUAGUGGGGGACAACAUUUCGAAAGGGAUGCUAAUACCGCAUACGUCCUACGGGAGAAAGCAGGGGAUCACUUGUGACCUUGCGCUAAUAGAUGAGCCUAAGUCGGAUUAGCUAGUUGGUGGGGUAAAGGCCUACCAAGGCGACGAUCUGUAGCGGGUCUGAGAGGAUGAUCCGCCACACUGGGACUGAGACACGGCCCAGACUCCUACGGGAGGCAGCAGUGGGGAAUAUUGGACAAUGGGGGGAACCCUGAUCCAGCCAUGCCGCGUGUGUGAAGAAGGCCUUUUGGUUGUAAAGCACUUUAAGCAGGGAGGAGAGGCUAAUGGUUAAUACCCAUUAGAUUAGACGUUACCUGCAGAAUAAGCGCCGGCUAACUCUGUGCCAGCAGCCGCGGUAAUACAGAGGGUGCGAGCGUUAAUCGGAAUUACUGGGCGUAAAGCG